AGCGUACACGGUGGAUGCCCUGGCAGUCAGAGGCGAUGAAGGACGUGCUAAUCUGCGAAAAGCGUCGGUAAGGUGAUAUGAACCGUUAUAACCGGCGAUGUCCGAAUGGGGAAACCCAGUGCAAUUCGUUGCACUAUCGUUAACUGAAUACAUAGGUUAACGAGGCGAACCGGGGGAACUGAAACAUCUAAGUACCCCGAGGAAAAGAAAUCAACCGAGAUUCCCCCAGUAGCGGCGAGCGAACGGGGAGCAGCCCAGAGUCUGAAUCAGCUUGUGUGUUAGUGGAACGGUCUGGAAAGUCCGACGGUACAGGGUGAUAGUCCCGUACACCAAAAUGCACAGGUUGUGAACUCGAAGAGUAGGGCGGGACACGUGGUAUCCUGUCUGAAUAUGGGGGGACCAUCCUCCAAGGCUAAAUACUCCUGACUGACCGAUAGUGAACCAGUACCGUGAGGGAAAGGCGAAAAGAACCCCGGCGAGGGGAGUGAAAAAGAACCUGAAACCGUGUACGUACAAGCAGUGGGAGCACCUUCGGGUGUGACUGCGUACCUUUUGUAUAAUGGGUCAGCGACUUAUAUUCUGUAGCAAGGUUAACCGUAUAGGGGAGCCGCAGGGAAACCGAGUCUUAACUGGGCGUUAAGUUGCAGGGUAUAGACCCGAAACCCGGUGAUCUAGCCAUGGGCAGGUUGAAGGUUGGGUAACACUAACUGGAGGACCGAACCGACUAAUGUUGAAAAAUUAGCGGAUGACUUGUGGCUGGGGGUGAAAGGCCAAUCAAACCGGGAGAUAGCUGGUUCUCCCCGAAAGCUAUUUAGGUAGCGCCUCGUGAAUUCAUCUUCGGGGGUAGAGCACUGUUUCGGCUAGGGGGUCAUCCCGACUUACCAACCCGAUGCAAACUACGAAUACCGAAGAAUGUUAUCACGGGAGACACACGGCGGGUGCUAACGUCCGUCGUGAAGAGGGAAACAACCCAGACCGCCAGCUAAGGUCCCAAAGUCAUGGUUAAGUGGGAAACGAUGUGGGAAGGCACAGACAGCCAGGAUGUUGGCUUAGAAGCAGCCAUCAUUUAAAGAAAGCGUAAUAGCUCACUGGUCGAGUCGGCCUGCGCGGAAGAUGUAACGGGGCUAAACCAUGCACCGAAGCUGCGGCAGCGACACUAUGUGUUGUUGGGUAGGGGAGCGUUCUGUAAGCCUGCGAAGGUGUGCUGUGAGGCAUGCUGGAGGUAUCAGAAGUGCGAAUGCUGACAUAAGUAACGAUAAAGCGGGUGAAAAGCCCGCUCGCCGGAAGACCAAGGGUUCCUGUCCAACGUUAAUCGGGGCAGGGUGAGUCGACCCCUAAGGCGAGGCCGAAAGGCGUAGUCGAUGGGAAACAGGUUAAUAUUCCUGUACUUGGUGUUACUGCGAAGGGGGGACGGAGAAGGCUAUGUUAGCCGGGCGACGGUUGUCCCGGUUUAAGCAUGUAGGCUGAUUGUCCAGGCAAAUCCGGAUAAUCAAGGCUGAGGUGUGAUGACGAGGCACUACGGUGCUGAAGUAACAAAUGCCCUGCUUCCAGGAAAAGCCUCUAAGCAUCAGGUAACAUCAAAUCGUACCCCAAACCGACACAGGUGGUCAGGUAGAGAAUACCAAGGCGCUUGAGAGAACUCGGGUGAAGGAACUAGGCAAAAUGGUGCCGUAACUUCGGGAGAAGGCACGCUGGUGUGUAGGUGAAGUCCCUGCGGAUGGAGCUGAGACCAGUCGAAGAUACCAGCUGGCUGCAACUGUUUAUUAAAAACACAGCACUGUGCAAACACGAAAGUGGACGUAUACGGUGUGACGCCUGCCCGGUGCCGGAAGGUUAAUUGAUGGGGUUAUCCGUAAGGAGAAGCUCUUGAUCGAAGCCCCGGUAAACGGCGGCCGUAACUAUAACGGUCCUAAGGUAGCGAAAUUCCUUGUCGGGUAAGUUCCGACCUGCACGAAUGGCGUAAUGAUGGCCAGGCUGUCUCCACCCGAGACUCAGUGAAAUUGAACUCGCUGUGAAGAUGCAGUGUACCCGCGGCAAGACGGAAAGACCCCGUGAACCUUUACUAUAGCUUGACACUGAACAUUGAGCCUUGAUGUGUAGGAUAGGUGGGAGGCUUUGAAGCGUGGACGCCAGUCUGCGUGGAGCCAACCUUGAAAUACCACCCUUUAAUGUUUGAUGUUCUAACGUUGGCCCCUUACCGGGGUUGCGGACAGUGUCUGGUGGGUAGUUUGACUGGGGCGGUCUCCUCCCAAAGCGUAACGGAGGAGCACGAAGGUUAGCUAAUCCUGGUCGGACAUCAGGAGGUUAGUGCAAUGGCAUAAGCUAGCUUGACUGCGAGCGUGACGGCGCGAGCAGGUGCGAAAGCAGGUCAUAGUGAUCCGGUGGUUCUGAAUGGAAGGGCCAUCGCUCAACGGAUAAAAGGUACUCCGGGGAUAACAGGCUGAUACCGCCCAAGAGUUCAUAUCGACGGCGGUGUUUGGCACCUCGAUGUCGGCUCAUCACAUCCUGGGGCUGAAGUAGGUCCCAAGGGUAUGGCUGUUCGCCAUUUAAAGUGGUACGCGAGCUGGGUUUAGAACGUCGUGAGACAGUUCGGUCCCUAUCUGCCGUGGGCGCUGGAGAAUUGAGGGGGGCUGCUCCUAGUACGAGAGGACCGGAGUGGACGCAUCACUGGUGUUCGGGUUGUCAUGCCAAUGGCACUGCCCGGUAGCUAAAUGCGGAAGAGAUAAGUGCUGAAAGCAUCUAAGCACGAAACUUGCCCCGAGAUGAGUUCU
rnacentral:rRNA from 2 species